UACGGGAGGCAGCAGGGGGAAUAUUGCACAAUGGGCGAAAGCCUGAUGCAGCUAUGCCGCGUGUAUGAAGAAGGCCUUAGGGUUGUAAAGUACUUUCAUCGGGGAGGAAAAACAAAACUAAUAAUUUUAUUUCUUGACGUUACCCGAAAAAGAAGCACCGGCUAACUCCGUGCCAGCAGCCGCGGUAAUACGGAGGGUGCUAGCGUUAAUCAGAAUUACUGGGCGUAAAGAGCACGUAGGUGGUUUUUUUAAGUCAGAUGUGAAAUCCCUGGGCUUAACCUAGGAACUGCAUUUUGAAACUGAAAUACUAGAGUAUCGUAGAGGGAGGUAGAAUUCUAGGUGUAGCGGUGAAAUGCGUAGAUAUCUGGAGGAAUACCUGUGGCGAAAGCGGCCUCCUAAACGAAUACUGACACUGAGGUGCGAAAGCGUGGGGAGCAAACAGGGAUUAGAUA
rnacentral:rRNA from 1 species